UCCUUCCCCUUAUUGAUCUCUCAAACAGGCCAUAAGAGUUUUUCUCAGCAAUCUAUUUCUAUUCAGUCCCUGUUCAAUCCAGUUGUCGAUACCUAUGGAGGUUCCAUGUUCUUGAAACCCAUGAGCUCAAAUCCUGAGAAGAGCAUUUUGAUUACUGCUAAGAGUUCUUCUCAACGUCAACCCAUCUUUGUUAAUCCACUAUUCAAUCCCAUUCUUGAUGCCCAUGAAGUCACAGAGUGAUAUGUGGGAGCUUCUCGCCAGUUCCACAGUGUGGUCCCCCUCCAGCCAUUGACCAAGAAAGGCGUGACGGUCCUACAGAAAAGAUUUGAAUAGGAGCUUCUCACCAGUUGCACAUUGUGGUCUCCCUCCUACCAUUGACCAAGAAGGCGUGACGAUCCUAUAGAAAAGAUUGAAUCGCUGAAGGCAACUUGAAUUCAUUGCUGUUCUCAAAUGUUCUUCAAAUUCCCACAUCGGGCUCUGAUCAGUACCUGAUCGAUCCUGUUCAUGAAGCCCAUGAAGGCCGAAUGACUUAACAUUGUGGCGCCGAUAUUCAAAACAGUAAGCUUUGCCAAAUAUUUUCUCUGUAUUCUUUAAUUUUAAUAAUUUGUGGUGGCAAAAGUACAGGGAUGUCCAGUAUUAAUUUAGUUCUAUGUAUU